rnacentral:rRNA from 1 species
UACGAAGGGGGCUAGCGUUGCUCGGAAUCACUGGGCGUAAAGCGCACGUAGGCGGCUUUCUAAGUCAGACGUGAAAUCCCUCAGCUUAACUGGGGAACUGCGUCUGAUACUGGAUGGCUUGGAUCCGGGAGAGGGAUGCGGAAUUCCAGGUGUAGCGGUGAAAUGCGUAGAUAUCUGGAGGAACACCGGUGGCGAAGGCGGCAUCCUGGACCGGUAUUGACGCUGAGGAGCGAAAGCCAGGGGAGCAAAGCGGGAUUAAGAAACCCCGGGUAGUCC